rnacentral:rRNA from 1 species
AGAGAGAGACAUGCGCGCAUAUCAAUAAGCGGAGGAAAAGAAACUAACUAGGAUUCCCUCAGUAACGGCGAGUGAAGCGGGAAGAGCUCAAAUUUGAAAUCUUCAAGGUUCUACCUUGACGAAUUGUAGUUUAAAGAAGUGUUUUCUGCUGGAGUUUUGGUAAAAGUUCUUUGGAAUAGGACAUCAUAGAGGGUGAGAAUCCCGUAUUUGACCAUUAUUUCCAGCUUUGUGAUACACUUUCAAAGAGUCGGAUUGUUUAGGGAAUGCAGUCCAAAAUGGGUGGUAAAUUUCAUCUAAAGCUAAAUACUGGCGAGAGACCGAUAGCGAACAAGUACCGUGAGGGAAAGAUGAAAAGAACUUUGAAAAGAGAGUUAAACAGUACGUGAAAUUGUCAAAAGGGAAGCGUUUGACACCAGUGUUGUUUUCUCGAAAAUCAAUUAAAGAAGGCAGGAUUUUGUGUUGUAUUGACUUUAUCAGCUUUCUGCACUCUUUUCUUGUCUUUUUUAAUGCACUUUUCGUUUAACAAGUCAACAUCAAUUUCUUUUGUUGUAAAAGGGUCAUUGGAAGGUGGCUUUCUUUUCGGAGAAAGUGUUUAUAGCCUUUGGCCUCUGCAAUCGGAGAGAUUGAGGUCUGCAGCGUAGAUCCUUCGGGGUUAGAUACAUUUGUGCUAAGUUAUAGCCUUUCAUAGACAACUUGUUGACUAUGAUCAGUCAUGUAGCUUACUCGCUUAUGCUAUUUUACCUACGCUUAGGAUGUUGAUGUGAUACUGCGAGC